UAAAAUAUAGUACACAUCAUUUUUAUAGUGUCAGACUACAGAGGGGUACUCUAAAGUGGUUAGCUGAGCAAGCCAUGAGGAGGAAGAGGAGUCAAAAGUGUUCUGUUCUGAACAUGAUGUGGAUAGUGAUGCAUUUAUGCAUCUGUUACUUGCUAUUGCUGAACAUUCUUGCCUUCUUUUUAUAAAAAAGUUGGGGGGGAAUAAAUACAGGCUGUGUGGU